UACGUAGGGUGCAAGCGUUGUCCGGAAUCAUUGGGCGUAAAGAGCGUGUAGGCGGCUCGUUACGUCUGCUGUGAAAGUCCAGGGCUCAACCCUGGAAGGCCGGUGGAAACUGUCGGGCUAGAGUCCGGAAGAGGCGAGUGGAAUUCCCGGUGUAGCGGUGAAAUGCGCAGAUAUCGGGAGGAACACCAAUGGCGAAGGCAGCUCGCUGGGACGGUACUGACGCUGAGACGCGAAAGCGUGGGGAGCAAACAGG
rnacentral:rRNA from 1 species